UGCCUUGCUCUCGUCACUACCACGCACUGAGCUACACUUUGUUGUUGUUUAAGAAAGCUUUGUCGAUGUCUAGCAUAUCUUGUCGAUAUGUGCAAUCAAUGCCGACUUGCAGUCGAUUAUGAUGAAUAUCCGGAGCUCAUUCGUGGAGGACAAAACCCUUGUCCGUGCGAGCCCCGCCAGUGCUGGACAUCACGGACACAGCUUACACCAGUCGGUGUUGACACGGACCUUCACGCGGAUCUUUCAGCUUUCCAACAUGAGACCUCCUCAAUUGUCACGGGCAAGAAUUAUCGUUUAUCUAAUAAAGUCAAAGUAAACAGGCACUGCUGUGUGCAAAUGUACAAAUGAUGACAGGAGACGGCGGCCAGACUGUCGAUCGUUUCUUUCGUUUGCAAGUGAAUUUGAGAAGACAAAGAUACACUAUAUAUAUAUAUGAGCGAACCAUCACCGAGGCAUCGAAAGCGUCUGUAAUGACAACCCCCUUCCUCUAUUUUCUUCCAGGGGAGAGGACGGAAGUUCCCGAGGAGAAUUUUCACUGAAAUCCUAACUGGCUCGGGUGUGCUGUUUAAUCAGAUAACUCGUUGUGUUCUUUUUUUCAUCUGCUACCCAACCGCAUUAGCUGACCUUGGAGCACACAAAAGACCCUUCUCUUAUUUUAAAAUUUAUUCAGUUCAAAAUCGGAUAACCCGUCUUUGUAAUUCGUAGGUCGAUUACUGGUCAUUUCGCCCCCAAAAUACAAAGUCAGGGACCGUGCAGUCCGUGCCUCCAUGUGUUAGGUUAUUUUAACCCCUUCGCUACAUAGGGACUGCAAUGUAGAAAGCAUGUCUGGGGAAAAAAAUGCAUGAGAAUGUCAGCGGGAAAAGGGUUAACGGUGACACGGAGUAUCUGGUGAACACUGUUCAGCCGUAGAAUUUUCGGCGGGAACGAGGUUGUAGACUGUAGAGGAACUCAGGCCCGGGAUAGUGAUCCCGAGUCCCUCCCUAGCUGAGAUUACAUAGUAGAGGGCAUGGUGUCCAUCGACGCUGGAUGCGGCGCGAUACUGACCUUUGGUGUAUUAACCUCGCCGAGACUAGCUGUAACAUCUCUUUGGGUUUUUGUUAAUGGAAUGUAAUACAGCUCACGUAGAUUUUAAAGUUGUAAACACGAACAUAUGAGAGAAAGAUGUGUGGGUGGGAGAAUGUGGUUUAGAGCAGUAUAUUGUAACUUCGAGUUACAGGUUUUUUUCCCGGUAUGGGCUGAUUGAGUGGAGCCCUUUUGAAGAAGGAAGAAUCCCACCUCGAUGAUGGCUCGAUCGCCUUCGGUCCAACACCCAACACGACCCCAACACGUGGGGUCGGGACUCAGGGUACCGUCGGCCUCGUGACGUCACUGUGGUGUACCGCUGCUGUGACCCCGGGACCCCCCACUCCCCGACACGGCCUUGGAGGUUCAUCCUGGUAACUAGCACAGGGCCACGUGCCAUUGGGUUGACCACUGAACUUUGAGAGGUACGAGCGAUACAUUUCCUGACACAAUGGUUGAUCAACUGCUUUUGUUGGCAGGGGGCAAAAGGGUGAGUGUUAGCAUUUUACAAGAUCAGUCAAGAAGCAGAUGAAAAGAGAUGCAUGGUCAGCACAAGUCAUGGUAAGUAUUGACCCUUUGCUCAAUGAUUGUCAGUAAAGUCUGAGCAAGCAUCUGUCUACCAUGAGGCCUCUCACAACCAAAAACUAAGAAAUGUUAACAUUCUGUUUAAGCCUGUGGCUCAGCUGCUCUAAUCAAGGGUCGUCAAAGGUAUGUACGGUAACUUGGCUUCCAACUUGACAAGAGCUCUAGGGAAGACCGCAAAAAAAAAGAAAAAAAGAAAAAAAGAAAAAAAAAA